rnacentral:rRNA from 1 species
CAACAGGGAUUGCCCUAGUAACGGCGAGUGAAGCGGCAACAGCUCAAAUUUGAAAUCUGGCUUCGGCCCGAGUUGUAAUUUGCAGAGGAUGUUUCUGGCGCGGUGCCUUCCGAGUUCCCUGGAACGGGACGCCAUAGAGGGUGAGAGCCCCGUAUGGUUGGAUACCAAGCCUGUGUGAAACUCCUUCGACGAGUCGAGUAGUUUGGGAAUGCUGCUCAAAAUGGGAGGUAAAUCUCUUCUAAAGCUAAAUAUUGGCCAGAGACCGAUAGCGCACAAGUAGAGUGAUCGAAAGAUGAAAAGCACCUUGAAAAGGGGGUUAAACAGUACGUGAAAUUGUUGAAAGGGAAGCGCUCAUGACCAGACUUGUGCUGGGCAGCUCAUCCGGGGUUCUCCCCGGUGCAUUCUGCCCAGUUCAGGCCAGCAUCGAUUUUUGCUGGGGGAUAAGAACGGUAGGAACGUGGCCCUCCUUCGGGAGGGUGUUAUAGCCUACCGUACGAUACCCUAGCGGAGAUCGAGGUUCGCGCAUCUGCAAGGAUGCUGGCGUAAUGGUCAUCAGCGACCCGUCUUGAAACACGGACCAAGGAGUCGUCCAUUAGAGCGAGCGUUUGGGUGUAAAACCCGCACGCGUAAUGAAAGUGAAAUUAGGUGAGAGCUUCGGCGCAUCAUCGACCGAUCCUGAUGUUCUCGGAUGGAUUUGAGUAAGAGUUUUAACGGACGGACCCGAAAGACAGUGAACUAUGCUUGUAUAGGGUGAAGCCAGAGGAAACUCUGGUGGAGGCUCGCAGCGGGUUCUGACGUGCAAAUCGAUCGUCAAAUAUGAGCAUGGGGGCGAAAGACUAAUCGAACUGUCUAGUAGCUGGUUACCGCCGA